rnacentral:rRNA from 1 species
UACGUAGGUGACAAGCGUUGUCCGGAUUUACUGGGCGUAAAGAGCGCGCAGGCGGUCGAUCAAGUCGAGUGUGAAAGCCCCCGGCUCAACUGGGGAGGGUCAUUCGAUACUGAUCGACUCGAAGGCAGGAGAGGGUAGUGGAAUUCCCGGUGUAGUGGUGAAAUGCGUAGAUAUCGGAAGGAACACCGGUGGCGAAAGCGGCGCGCUGGAUCCCUACUGACGCUGAGGCACGAAAGCCAGGGGAGCAAACGGG